GACGAACGCUGGCGGCGUGCUUAACACAUGCAAGUCGUACGGUAAGGCCCUUUCGGGGGUACACGAGUGGCGAACGGGUGAGUAACACGUGAGUAACCUGCCCACAACUUUGGGAUAACGCUAGGAAACUGGUGCUAAUACUGGAUAUGUGCUCCUGCUGCAUGGUGGGGGUUGGAAAGCUCCAGCGGUUGUGGAUGGACUCGCGGCCUAUCAGCUUGUUGGUGGGGUAGUGGCCUACCAAGGCGGCGACGGGUAGCCGGCCUGAGAGGGUGACCGGCCACAUUGGGACUGGGAUACGGCCCAGACUCCUACGGGGGGCAGCAGGGGGGAAUAUUGCACAAUGGGCGCGAGCCUGAUGCAGCAACGCCGCGUGCGGGAUGACGGCCUUCGGGUUGUAAACCGGUUUCAGCAGGGACGAAGCUGUUUGUGACGGUACCUGCAGAAGAAGCACCGGCUAACUACGUG
rnacentral:rRNA from 1 species